UGUUAGGAGCCAGUUGCACUAAUCAACAGGGUGCUUCUGAGUAGUAGCUGUGUCUCGGAGAGUUUCUGAGAUAAGCCAAGGCUGCACCAGCUUGGGCCCCUGGGAACAGGGAGCAAAUGCAUUCUCUCCAGCAGCAAGGAGGCACCAUGCAAGUGUCCCCAUGGCUGCCCCGGAGCCUGCCUCAAGGCCUUUCAGGAAUGAAUGUCUGCUAUUUGUGGAGACUGGAGAGCCUUCCCCGAAGGCAGGUGGCAUUCCUACACUCUCCUGCACUUCCAGUGGCUGCCUCUCUUUACUUCCCUCACUCCGAUUAAGAAGGCAAGAGUGGCCCUUACACUGCACUCAUGCUGGGGGCCCUCAGUGACGCCCAGCUGGAAUGCCUCCAUCAGAGGCUGUGCCUAGCAGAGGCCAUCCUGGCAAUUUCUCUCUGCCACAAUCCCAUACAUUCACGGAUCACAAUGUGGAAUGUCGUUAGCUUGCUCUUAAAUUCCUAAAGGCAUUGGAGGGAAAAAUAGACUCUGUUGAUGUGACCGAUGUGCCAAUUAAGGACUGGGGUCUUUCUUCUUUUGCUUUUUCUGUGUUCUGUUUUCCCAACACAAUCUCAGGGGGAGGUGAGUGACAAGAUAAUGCAAUCGCUAUUGUGUAUUUGCCACAAAGAACACCCAGUUAGAAACCUUCCCGCUGAGGCCAGCAAUGGAUGUUAGUCUGCAUUUUUUUCAAAGAAAAUAAGGCAGAUGCAUAGGUUGGCUUAAUAAGCUGCAGAAUGGACAUCUCAUCCACAGCAGACCAAUCAGCGCUCUUUCCAGUGACAUUCAGAAGAGAAUUAAAGGGAAAAAGACCCUUUCCCUUUUGGUGAGAAACUGAGAAGGUGACUCCUGGAGCUGCGGGCAGCUGUGGUUCCAGCCUUAGCGGAAGAUGUUUAUCUAAAGGAAUGAAGAUGACCUGCAGAGAAAAUUAAAGACACGAACUUAGUCACCAGGUGAAGAAACCCAGGCUAGCCUGCUGGAGACAAGAAGCACCAUUUGCCAGACAUGAGAGGAAGACCACCAGAGAUCAUCUGGCCCACAUCAAGUUAUGCCACAUGAGGGACCCCGGAGAUCAGCAGAAGAACCAUCAGCCUGAACGCAGCCCCAAAUGAUGGUUCACAGUUAUGAGCAAAUGAAAUGGUGUUUGUUUAUUUCACCAAGUUUUGGAG
rnacentral:lncRNA from 1 species